AUGGUGAUGCUGAAGAAGAACACGAGCGCCCUGCACUGCUUCGUGACCGCCCUCAUGGUGGUCAUGGCUGCCACCCUUCUCUCCUCAUGCGACGUCCGCAAAGAGAUGGAUAAGCCCCAUGCUUUUCCCCUGCCCGCUUCGUGCUACUCCAAGCACUUUCCAAACUGCACCGACGAGCGGUGCAAGAAGUUCUGUGGUGGCGAUGACAUGCCGCCGGUCCCCGGGGCCUUCUGCAACGAUGACAACAACUGUUGUUGUCCCAUUUAG
rnacentral:rRNA from 1 species